rnacentral:rRNA from 1 species
GGUGCGUCCUUACACCCCGCCGAGGUGCGACCUUACGGGGGAGCACCGAAGCGGGCUUGACGCAUUACUUUGAGCAAAUGAGAGUGCUCCACGCAGGGCUUGGUUCGCCAGCUCGUAUAUUCAGUGCAUGGAAUAAUCAGGAACUACCACGGUUCCAGUUGUUGGUUUACGGAUACCGAGGUAAUGAUCAAUGAGAACGGGAUGGGGCAUCCGUACCGCGACGUGAGAGGUGAAAUUUUUGGAUCGUCGCUAGACGAACAGGAGCGAAAGCGUUUGCCAAGCACGUCUCCGUCGAUCAAGAACGAAAGUUAGAGGUUCGAAGGCGAUCAGAUACCGCCCUAGUUCUAGCCAUAAACAAUGCCUGCCAGCGAUCCGCCGUGGCUCCUCCUGACACACGGCGGGUAGCUUCCCGGGAAACCAGAGCUUAUCGGUUCCGGGGGGAGUAUGGUUGCAAAGCUGAAACUUAAAGGAAUUGACGGAAGGGCACCACCAGGAGUGGAGCCUGCGGCUUAAUUCGACUCAACACGGGAAAACUCACCAGGCCCGGACACCGGAAUGAUUGACAGAUUGACUUGCUCUCUCUUGAAUCGGUGGGUGGUGGUGCAUGGCCGUUCUUAGUUGGUGGAGUGAUUUGUCUGGUUUAUUCCGAUAACGGACGAGACUCUAGCCUACUAACUAAGCUGCCC